GCACAACAACUCACACAACCGCUGACGUCAUCAUCAAAACGACGUCGUUUUGAUUAUUAAAAAAAAAAAAAAAACCCAGGUCCUGCGGCUUUCUCCUUCCUCCCCUUCUCACGAUCAAAAACCCAGCGUUGAAAAAACCCAGAGAGGGGCUCCCACCACCGGCAACCACCACAACCCAACCCAGCGCUCCACCACCGUCGGCUACAGCCACCAUCGGCUUCUAAGCUCUCUGACGUUGUUACCUCUACCACGAAGGUCUCUCUCUCUCUCUCUUCUUGUUUCAGAUAGAUAGAUUAGCCCCACUAUUUCCUCCUCAUCCUCAUCAAUUAGAGGGUUUCAAUUUGAGAAACUGUGCUGCAGCAAAAAAAAAAAAACUAUUUCGAAAAUUUGAGAAACCCCUGAUUUGAAAAUGUGAGAAACCCUAAAUUGGAGUGCUUGUGGUGCUUUGAUAAUCUGAUUUGUUAACCCCAGAAUAGUCGUUUAAUGUGUUGGUAAUCUUUGUAAAUUGAUACCAUUUUGUGCGUCUAUAUGAAUGGUUUGCAAGAACUUGUACAUUUAGUUAAUCAACCACCAAACCACAGUUAGUGGCUUUUGGUAUUGGUUCUCUUUAGGAUUUUGGCUGUUCUAAGGAAGAAUUUUUGUUGUUUGUGGCAUGUUUUUGAACUGGAUCUUUAAGGAGAGAUAAAUCUGAAUUGGGUUUCAUUACUGAUUCCCUAAAUAGUCAAGUUCAAGACCUUAAGGGUAACAUUACUGAUUCCCCAAAGUUCACAAUCACACUUGCUUUUGACUUUUCUAUUAACUCCUUUGCUCCUUUAAUUUGCAAAGGCACUAAAAUCUUUAACUGACUGGUUGACUAAUUGGUGGUGGAGUUUCAAUAAAGAGAAGAUUGCAUUGUGGGUGAUUGUGGUUUCUAGUAAGUAUGAUCUGUGUGAUGGAGCUUGGCUACCCCAUCUUCCAAGUAGGAAAUCAUCCAACUUAUGGAAAGGAAUUUGUUCAGUAGAUGUGGCUGGGAGAGGAUUCUUUGCAAGCUGUAUUCCCAAGAUUAUAGAAGCUCUCCACCCAAAAAGAUGCAAUGAUAGCAGAUAUGGUGGAUAACCAAAACCAAGGACAGUGGAAGUUUCAGUUCAGGAGAAAGUUUGGAAGGGCUAAGAGGGUUUCGAAUGAAUGAAAAUGCUGAAGUUGUGCUAAAAGUGAAAUCUUCUCUGCUGUGUUUGCUGGGCAUACAUCCUGCAAUUUUGAUGUAUCUUCUUUGAUACCUCUUUUUUACUCCCAAACUUGGAGGGCUAAGAGGCUAGAAGUUCCUAUUUUGGCUACAGUUAUUGCAUUCUGCUAGUUCUAAGGCUCUGCAAUGAUAAUGUCCAUUCUCUGCCAUAUGCUGUGAAUGGAGUUACUCAAGUGCUGCCAAGACUUAGUUCAAUUGCUGCUGAUAUGUAUCCUGAGGAGUGGCUAAUUGUGUCCGUUUAUGUAGAAAGUUGUAACGGUUAUGGGCUCAUUCAAUUUUCCCAUUGGAUGUAAUUUUCUUUUCUUUUGUUUCCUUUCCUUGGCCUUUUACUAUGCCUUAUCUUCUGUGGCUAGUAUUUGGUCUCGUCUCGAUGUACCCUUUGUCGAGUUUUUAAUAAAAUCUUGUUGCCGAUCAAGCAACUUGUAUUGCCA